rnacentral:lncRNA from 1 species
GGCUCCCUUCUGUGAUUGACCCUGAGCCUGCGUUCGCGCUGACGACGGGGACUGCGGGGGUCUCGUGGUGGGAAUUGUGGGCGCUGACAUAGGAGAGGCGCCUGCUGGGCGCUAGGACGCAGGACCCCUUGGGACAGGAACGGGUGUAUGGGAACCCGGUGGGGCCAGGGUCCCAGGGGGCACAGGGGCUGGGCGGUGACUUACGUAGCGGUCCCUCAGCGCCUUGGCAGCCGCCAGCGUCCGGGGCUCCAGCGAGCGGUAGUGCGAGAGCAGGCAGCGCCGGGGGGCCUUCUGCGAUCACCGUGCACAGGACCCACAGCCCCGCGGCCACUGCGGCCCAGACACUCGGCCGCAUCUCUGCUUCUGCAGCAGGCGAGAGACGUCAGGGAAGCCAAAGAGAGGGUCCAGCGCGUCCAGCCCCCCGCCUUGGGUUAGGAUCCCAGGGAAGGCAAUGCUCGGAGCGUGAAGGCACAGCACACACAGUGGGAGAGAGAGUGGGAGCCGGCCCCCUCCUCGCCUUGGCCUCUGCCCUCACUCCUGUCUGCAGUGCACCCUCUGUGCCUCGUGCUGCAGCAGGUGCUGCCGUCCACUGUCCCCUGGGAGGCGUCCAGAGCCGUCUCCACCUGGGCAACAGUGCCUCGACGGUCCAUGCUGGCUUUUAUGCGCAGGGCUGAGAAUGGGGUUUGCAGCCGGGCUUUCCCGUCCAGGGCAAGCUUUCCCAACAUCAGAGCUGGCCCCAGGCCUCUGGGAUCCCAGUCGGGUGUGAGGACUUCAACCCGAGGUUGGCCUGUGCCCGGGAUGGCUGCCCUCCAACACUCGGUUUCCAAAUUGUCUCUGUCCCUGUUUCUACUGUCUGUUUCCUCUUUCUUUGCUUCACCCUGGUUGUCUUUAUCUUCGUUCUGCAAUCACAACCAGCCCUUGUGUAGUGUUGACUGUGCAUCAGGCUCUCUUCUAUGUAAUUGACACAGACAUAUCAUCUCAUUUUUGUACCAGGGCAGCCCUGGAGGUGUAGCUGAGAAAGAGAACGCUUAAUUUAUUUUAUUUUAUUUUAUUUUAUUUCAGAGACAGAGUCUUGCUUUGUUGCCCAGCCUGUAGUAGUGGUGCAGUCACAGCUCACUUCAGACUCAACCUCCCAGGCUCAAGCAAUCCUCCCACCUCAUUCUCCAUAGUAGCUGGGACUACCGGUGGGUGCCACCACCAUUUUUUGUAGCAACCUGGUUUCGCCAUGUUGCCCAGGUUGGUCUCUAACGCCUGAGCUCAAGACAUCUGCCCGCCUCAGCCUCCCAAAAUUCUUGGAUUACAGGCAUGAUCCAUUGCACCUGGCCUCAUUAUUUUCUUAAACCGUUUUUUUCUAGUCUCUUUAUCUAUGGGUGCAUUGAUUAAAAGAACUGCAGAUGCCCGAAAGGCCACACGAGCUUCAGGACGCUUCCUUUGCUUAUUACUGGAGGAAGAAAAGGCUGGGGCAAAACAAGUGCAAACCAGACACAGUGACCCACGGUUACCUUUAGAUCAUUAAUAUAUAAUUAUCAUGGUAAACUCCCUACCCAUGGAGGAAAAUACGCUCACCAUUUGCUGAACAUACAUCAUAUGAAGAGGCAUGCUUAUGAUCUGCACCUGCGUCUGGAGUUGCUCUCUGCGCAUGCUUACAUACCUCCCCACCCCACAGCUAACUCCUUAAAAUUUCCCAGCUCCCCACAGCUGGGCGAUAAGGUGUUUUUUGUUUUUUGUUUUUUUUGAGAUGGAGUUUCACCCUUGUUGCCCAAGCUGGAGUGCAGUGGCGUGAUCUCGGCUCACUGCAACCUCCACCUCCCGGGUUCAAGCAAUUCUCCUGUCUCAGCCUCCUGAGUAGCUGGGAUUACAGGCACAUGCCACCAUGCCUGGCUAGUUUUUUGUAGUUUUAGUAGAGAUGGGGUUUCACCAUGUUGGCCAAGCUGGCCUCAAACUCCUGACUUCAGGUGAUCCGCCCGCCUUGGCCUCCCAAAGUGCUGGGAUUACAGGCAUGAGCUCGCCCAGCAAUAAGGUGUCUUUAGAGCAAGAGUUCUCUCCUUCCCCAUCCUAGCUAGGAAUAAAACCUGCUUGCCUUUUUGUUUCCAAUUGGGUGUUCUUUCUUUGCAACCAAUGCAGAGUAGGGAAAGAACUGCAUUUACAGGUGACAAUUUCAUUGUCAAAAAUGACACAAGCCCGGGUACAGUGGCUCAGGCCUGUAAUCCCAGCAUGUUGGGAGGCUGAGGAGGGAGGAUUGUUUGAGCCCAGGAGUUCGAGACCAGCCUGGGCAAUAUAGUGAGACCCUGUCUCUACAAAAAGUAAGGGAUUUAAAAAUUAGCUGGGCAUGGUGGUGUUACUGGAAAAGCAUCCUGAUCCAGACCCCAAGAGAGGGUUCUUAGAUCUUGUGCAAGAAAGAAUUUGGGGCGAGUCCACAGUGCAAAGCAAAAGCAAGUUUAUUUUAAAAAGUAAAGUGGUGGCUGGGUGCAGUGGCUCACACCUGUAAUCCCAGCACUUUGGGAGGCCGAGGCAGGUGGAUCACUUGAGGUCAGGAGUUCAAUACCAGCCUGACCAACAUGGCAAAACCCUGUCUCUACUAGAAAUACAAAAAAAUUAGCCGGGUGUGGUGGUGCACACCUGUAGUUCCAGCUACUUGGAAGGCUGAGGCAGGAGAAUUGCAGUGAGCCAAGGUUGCGCCACUGCACUCCAGCCUGGGUGACAGAGCGAGAAAAAAAUAAGCAAAGUGGCGAAGGAAUAGCUACUCCAUAGACAGAGUAGGGUGUUCCUGAAAAUAAGAGGAGGAAUGGGCCCACCCUAGGUACAAUGCUUGUUUAUAACAAAAAAUAUCAUGGGGAGAUGUGCUCUGCUACCAGGGUUUGUGACAAAGGAUUAAAUUUCUUAAUUAUCAUAUUUUGCAAAAACCGAUAUUACUAUCUUUAAAGCAAAACGAGGAAUGCUUCUGAUGAAGAAUGCUUCUGUUCUCAAGAUACCGAGAUUUCAGGACAUUCCUGAGCCUGAGUCUCUUUAGUAAAUGUUAUCAAUCUGUUCCAUUAACAGUAAACAUCUAGAGGCUAGGAAUGCCUAACUUCCUGGAAAUGCAGCUCAGCAGGUCCCAGCCUCCUUUUUCCUAGCCCUCACUCAAGAUGGAGUCGCUCUGGUUCAAAUGCCUCUGACAGUGGCACACACCUGUAGUCCCAGCUACUCAUGGGGCUGAGAUGAAAGGAUCCCUUGAGUCUGGGAGGUUGAGGCUGCAGUGAGCUGUGAUUGUGCCACGGCACUCCAGCCUGGGCGACAGAGUGAGAGACUGUCUCAAAAAAAAAAAAAAAAAAAAAGACACAAACCAGGCACAGUCGCUCAUGCCUGUAAUCCCAG